AAUUGCCCGAUCCCUGAUUCUUCACACACUAUCACCACUCAUACCUCAGCCAUUUGUACCGGCAGUCUCGUUCGUGCACACAUUCUUUAAAUCUUGAUCUUGGUCUGUGAUCUCAACAACCUCUCUCAAACACACUAACCGCCAAACUUUCACCUUCGCAACACCACAACACCACACCUCCGCGCGUACACUGUUGCCGGAUUUUGUUGUUGUCGCCGUUGCCAACCGUUGUUGCUGCUCCUCUGUUUUUUUCUGGAGGCCAAACUUGCUGCUCGUUGCUCGUCUUGCUCUCCAUGGCCACUAUUUGAAGUACAACAUACCACAAUUGGCAAAAAGAUACAAGGUGUAUGCCUUAGACUUGAUUGGAUUUGGCUGGAGUGACGAAAAACUUAUUGAAUAUGAUGCCAUGGUAUGGAGGGAUAAAGUGGUAGACUUCGUGAAGGAAAUAGUUAAAGAACCAUCAGUUUUAAUUGAAAAUAGAUAAUUGACUAUAAUACUUGUACCAAUUUUUUUUAGUAGAUUGUAUCUAAUUUUAAAUAGACACACAAGAUAAAUUAAGCGCUGGUAGCUGCAUAAUCUUAAAAGAUAACUAAUGUGAA